rnacentral:misc_RNA from 1 species
AAAGAUCGCAGCCUUCGGCAGCGCCUGCACAGGAUUGAUGUACAUCCCGUUGGAGCUGCCGAAGGCUGCGAUCUUU